AACCCCCAAAAUAUUACUCAAUUCCGUCCGAUUUCUCUAUGCCCGGUCUUGUAUAAGAUUGCGGCCAAAGCUAUCACAAACAAACUGAGAGAUUUUAUGGAUGAGAUUAUUAGCCAGGAGCAAAGUGCUUUCAUUCCGGGUCGCCUCAUCAUUGAUAACAUAUUGGUUGCAUUUGAAAGUGUGCAUGCCAUGAAACGGAGGAAGAAGGGGAAGAACUUUGCAUGUGCAGUUAAAUUGGACAUGAUGAAAGCUUAUGAUACGAUGGAAUGGAGCUACCUCAAAGCAAUCCUCCUUAAAUUUGUCUUUGGCAUCAACUUAGUGAGAUUGAUCAUGAAGUGUGUCACUUCGGUUCGUUUCUCGGUACGGGUAAAUGGUGAACAACUACCCUACUUCACGCCCACGUGUGGAUUAAGGCAAGGUGAUCCCAUGUCACCCUAC
rnacentral:rRNA from 1 species